rnacentral:rRNA from 2 species
CCGCCUGGGGAGUACGGCCGCAAGGUUAAAACUCAAAUGAAUUGACGGGGGCCCGCACAAGCGGUGGAGCAUGUGGUUUAAUUCGAUGCAACGCGAAGAACCUUACCUGGUCUUGACAUCCACAGAAUUCUGCAGAGAUGCGGAAGUGCCUUCGGGAACUGUGAGACAGGUGCUGCAUGGCUGUCGUCAGCUCGUGUUGUGAAAUGUUGGGUUAAGUCCCGCAACGAGCGCAACCCUUAUCCUUUGUUGCCAGCGAUUAGGUCGGGAACUCAAAGGAGACUGCCAGUGAUAAACUGGAGGAAGGUGGGGAUGACGUCAAGUCAUCAUGGCCCUUACGACCAGGGCUACACACGUGCUACAAUGGCGCAUACAAAGAGAAGCGACCUCGC